rnacentral:tRNA from 1 species
GCGCUUCGUGGCCCGCGCGGAUGUCGAGCAGCGCGUUGAACUCGCGCGCGAGCUGCCGCAGCUCCGCCGGGCCGGUCACGUCGACCCGGGCGUC